rfam:Colletotrichum sublineola strain TX430BB Scaffolds1147.1, whole genome shotgun sequence.
GGUCUGGUGGUGUAGUUGGUUAUCACGUCAGUCUAACAGCUUGGGGACUUGUCGCAAUGUCCUCACUGUACACUGAAGGUCUCCGGUUCAAGUCCGGGCUAGAUCA